AGAGUUUGAUCCUGGCUCAGGACGAACGCUGGCGGCGUGCCUAAUACAUGCAAGUCGAACGAAACUUUCUUACACCGAAUGCUUGCAUUCACCGUAAGAAGUUGAGUGGCGGACGGGUGAGUAACACGUGGGUAACCUGCCUAAAAGAAGGGGAUAACACUUGGAAACAGGUGCUAAUACCGUAUAUCUCUAAGGAUCGCAUGAUUCUUAGAUGAAAGAUGGUUCUGCUAUCGCUUUUAGAUGGACCCGCGGCGUAUUAACUAGUUGGUGGGGUAACGGCCUACCAAGGUGAUGAUACGUAGCCGAACUGAGAGGUUGAUCGGCCACAUUGGGACUGAGACACGGCCCAAACUCCUACGGGAGGCAGCAGUAGGGAAUCUUCCACAAUGGACGCAAGUCUGAUGGAGCAACGCCGCGUGAGUGAAGAAGGUCUUCGGAUCGUAAAACUCUGUUGUUAGAGAAGAACACGAGUGAGAGUAACUGUUCAUUCGAUGACGGUAUCUAACCAGCAAGUCACGGCUAACUACGUGCCAGCAGCCGCGGU
rnacentral:rRNA from 1 species